CCUACGGGGUGCAGCAGUAGGGAAUAUUGCUCAAUGGGGGAAACCCUGAAGCAGCAACGCCGCGUGGAGGAUGAAGGUUUUCGGAUUGUAAACUCCUUUUGUUAGAGAAGAUAAUGACGGUAUCUAACGAAUAAGCACCGGCUACCUCCGUGACAGCAGCCGCGGUAAUACGGAGGGUGCAAGCGUUACUCGGAAUCACUGGGCGUAAAGAGCGCGUAGGCGGGAUAGCAAGUCAGAUGUGAAAUCCUAGGGCUUAACCAUAGAACUGCAUUUGAAACUGUUAUUCUAGAGUAUGGGAGGGGUAGGUGGAAUUCUUGGUGUAGGAGUAAAAUCCGUAGAGAUCAAGAGGAAUACUCAUUGCGAAGGCGACCUGCUAGAACAUAACUGACGCUGAUGCGCGAAAGCGUGGGGAGCAAACAGGAUUAGAUACCCCAGUAGUC
rnacentral:rRNA from 1 species